rnacentral:lncRNA from 1 species
AUGACAAAUGGUUCGUUUUAAAUAGUUUUGAAAUCCUGAUUUUUAAUUGAGCGUGAAGGAAAAACAUUUAAACAAUGUUUGACCUAACAAUUUACAUGCAACACAUAUUCAAAAAUUUUUUUUAACAAAUCGGGAUUUUUCUAUUACAAAAAUUUGCAGAAUGUUACAGCUUUGCUCUCCUGUGGCAUCACUUGACAUGCCAUCCUUGAGUCUUUCUAAUUGUCCAUCAAAGAGAUUGAAUUUGAAAAGCUUCCUAAGAAAUCUCUUUUGAAGAUUCAAACUAUAUGCACUAAAAGAUAUUUUAUGAAGCGGAAAGUUUAAACUCCUCCUAAAAUCAUUAGAAAGAAUUUAUAAAGGUAGAAUUACUUCUUCCCUUAGAUAAUUUUAGAGUACUACUAGUUUAGGAUGGAUAGCCGAAUCAUGGGAUUGGAAUGUUUGCAAAGUGGCUAUGAAAACUUCCUCUUCUAGUUUGGGGGACGAUUCCUUCUCUACUUCUAGGUUUUCAUCAUGAAGGCUAGUGCAAGGAGUGUGUCCACUAAGGACAAACCUCACUGCACUAAUAGAUAAAGAAAGGAAAACUCCACCAAAGGUGGUAUUAUCAAGACCCGUAUAAAGAUGUUGAAGAAGAACAGGGUCUUGUAAGGCUAGGUCUAAACCUAAAUUUAUAUGAAUAUAUUAAAAGAUUCCCUAAGUGUAGCCAAAAGAUCAUUACCUUGUUGAUCAGAAGAUAGGACUCUAGCUCUAGAAAAGGGUUGCCUUUGACCUAUUGCAACUAAACAUGAGCGUAGCUCAUAGCUAGAUGUGAGAAUCACGGGCUCUAGUGGCUCUAAGCUUAUGCUGAUGGGUGCAGGAUAUUGAUAGAUAGGCAUGGAAUUUAGGUUAUCCAUAAGGAUAGAAAAGAAAAAGAAAAAGAAAAGAUAAGGUAAAAGAAAAGGAUAAAAGUAUAAUACAAGGUUAAGCAUGAUUUAAAGUUAUCUCAGCAGACCAUCUUUCUCCUCUGCAACGGUGCCAGAAAUGCGUGUUGAUAUUAGAUAAGCACAACAAGAAAAAAUCUACAAGCGCACGGAUAUCAGUGAGUACUUCACCCGGGAGGUAUUCCAGAAUAUCGUUAUUUAUAUUUUUAAUACUGGGAGAAGGCGUGAAUCUGACUAACCUAAAUCUAUACAUAACCCCUGGGCUUGCAAUUCAAGAUAGUGAGAUAUGAGCGAUAUAGAGAGAAUUCCUUCGUUAGUGUUCCUCUAACCUAUGGUAAGCUGUGUAGAUAUUGUUCUAAGGGGGUACCUGGAGAAAAGAGACACCUUAGAAAGUGCUUAACCCUGCAUGUUAUUUCCUACCUUACCUUCUGACAAGACAUGGAUUAGAGAGACAUGAGGAGAUUGUCACUUCCCCCCAAUGCUACCACAAAUCCGGACAGAUAGGGAGUAUCUACACGAGUAUUCCUAGCCCAAGCGCCAUGCUUACGCUAUGAAUGAUUACUCUAUUCCCUAGCGCUAGCGAAUAAAGUAAAGCCAUAAACCAAGAACAAUAAGAACAAUAAACUUACUAGUAUUAGAAGUUGAAUUGCCCAAUAAUUCUAGAACUAAGCCUCUAGUUAGGAGACUUGAUCCCGUAGAUACAAGGAAGAAGACACCGACAAGCCGGGCUUCCUCCACUUCUAUCUGCACCCUAUACUCUCUUAAUCUCUCUUGUUGCUAAAACCCUAAAGAGACAGAUCCAUUUGAGGGACCCUUGUGUGGCUAAUUCUCUCUAAAAAGAUGAAUUAGGGUUUUAGAAUUGUCACUCAGCCAGGGGGUCAGGCUUGUAUUUAUAGCCCCCUAGGAGGUACCACAGCCCUUGGUUCAAACCG